AUUUGAGCCCUGCAACAGAAUGAGGAAAAAUAUUGAAUUAGUGAUAUAUAGAUGUUAAAACAAUAUUUCCUUUAAUACUAUCUUCAAAACCGUAGGUAUGUAGUAUGCCUAUCCUUUUAAAUAUUCACUUUCUUUGUUCUCCAUUUUUCCUAUCUGAUCAGUUUAAUGCACUCCGCAAACUUUCGUAAACACAUUUAAGCUAUGAAAAGCGAACAAAUUGUUUGACUGCACCUCGAAAUCUAAACCUUUAAUUCUUAGUUUAUUUGCUA